rnacentral:misc_RNA from 1 species
GUAGGUGAACCUGCGGAAGGAUCAUUAACACAUCAACCGCUGAGGCCGUCGGUACGGGCAGGAAACUGCUCGUCCUUCGUGUCUUGGCACUAACCAAUAUCCACCCGUGGUCCUGUUCUGUACGUCAGCCAACAACCGGGCUGAUGCUUAUCUACCUCGUUGCGCAGAUCAUCCUGCCAGGCGUCCUUGAUUCCUGUCGACCAGGUUUUUUGCGUGACGGGCUAGCCAUUUCUUAUGAACUCAAAAUUGUAUACCUGCACUUAUCACCAUGUGCCACGAAAGUGUCGCAUGCUGUUGGCACCGUCAAACGUGUCAGCAACCAAUCACAACUCGUAACAAUGGAUAUCUCGGCUAAC